UGAUCAGAUUACCCACACGUGAAAGGCUCGGGGCGCUGCAUGCUUUUAAUUUUUAAUCCAAAACAAUUCACUUCUGUGAGUCGUUAGCUACCUCGCAGAUAGGUUAGCAAGCUUGGGAACCGGAGUUUGAGCCCUGUUCCCCACCUGCAGGGGAGGGGAGAGGCUUCAGGAGCUGUGAAGCAGGCCAAGCUCAGGAGAAGAUUGCCUGGAUGCAUCUGGUUUGGGGUUUCAUGCUUUCGUAGGAUACUGGCUGGGAUGGCAGGUGCUAAAGGCUGGAUUCAGGCUGGAGGAUUUGCCCUCCUGAUGCCUCAGAGAUGGUCUUACCCCAUCAGACUACAAGGUCUUCAGCCACAGACAGCUCACACAGACAGACAGGAGUAGUGCUGUAGAAGCAGAGACCUUGGCAGCUAGAGGCAGGGCCCAUCACUCAGCUCUCAGCUGCCACCUAUACAGGAGAGAACAGGCCUACCACUGCUCAGCUCUGGCUUAUAGUGGUGCUAAGGACUGAACCUGGAACUUAGGAGCCUCUGGCAUGCACUGAAGAAAGAAGCUAAAGCAGAGGAAAAUAAGGGAGACAGGAAAAACAAGCUGAAACAAACUGAAACUGAGAAGACUCAAGUAAGAUUUGAAAGGCUAAUGCUUUUUGUUUUUAGUCAAAAUGUAUCUUGUUUUAGAGAUAAUUCGAAAUUGCCUCGUAAUGUCCAAAUCAAUUUAUGAUUUUACAAAAAUAAUAUA